UAUCAUUUGAUGAAUUAAAUUCCAUAACGGAUACCUGUCUUAUUAAAACACAAUAGGGAAAGAAACUCCGCCAUGGAAACAUAUAUAACCCAUAGCGUUCAGCGACAACUGAACAA
rnacentral:snoRNA from 1 species